AUAAGCCACUAGGGGUGCUGAUUGCUGAGAUUAACGAAAGUUAAAUCCCUUAGACUUGAACUAGGUAAUGCUAGCGUAAGAAAUGUGGGAAUCUUAAUAA
rnacentral:ncRNA from 2 species